rnacentral:lncRNA from 1 species
ACAUGAUCUCUCUCUACAGGUAAAACCAGGGCAUCACCAGAAUGCUGUUAUACCUGUAUACAUGAUCUCUCUACAGGUAAAACCAGGGCAUCACCAGAAUGCUGUUAUACCUGUAUACAUCUCUUUCUACAGGUAAAACCAGGGCAUCACCAGAAUGCUGUUAUACCUGUAUACAUGUUCUCUCUCUACAGGUAAAACCAGGGCAUCACCAGAACACUAUUAUACCUGUAUACAUGUUCUCUCUCUACAGGUAAGUGGGAAUACCCAGACCAACCUUUUUCCCUGACAAGAGGAACUAUAAAGAUGGAAUGUGUCUCCGGAAGGUGGUGAUUGACUCCGCUGUCCUGGCGUCGUGAGGGAGCUUGUUCCACCAUUGGGGUGCCAGAGCAGCGAACAGUUUUGACUGGGCUGAGCGGGAACUGUGCUUCCUCAGAGGUAGGGGGGCCAGCAGGCCAGAGGUGGAUGAACGCAGUGCCCUUGUUUGGGUGUAGGGCCUGAUCAGAGCCUGAAGGUAUGGAGGUGCCGUUCCCUUCACAGCUCCGUAGGCAAUCACCAUGGUCUUGUAGCGGAUGCGAGCUUCAACUUGCCGAGGUUCAGCUUGAGCUGGUGAUCCGUCAUCCACACUGAUUUUUAACUCAGUUCAAUUUACUAGAUGACUUUUAAUCAAUGAAAAGUAAUUAUAACUUAUGUUUAUGUGGUGCUGACUCAAAACUAAAUGAGAAGUUAUAUUAACUCAAUUUGUUUAAGUUAUCAUAACAAAUUCACUUUUUAUCCAACAAGCUCUACUGCAGCUAGAUUUGUUCUAAUUGUUUUUAAUAUCUGUACAUUGAGUGAUUGAUUAAUCUUAUGCAGUAAAGAUAAAUAACAUGCAUUUUUCAAAAUUCAUCAAAUCAUUUAGUUACAUUUUUUGCAGCCAUGACUGAAAUGGUUGUUGAAGUUUUAAAUCGCCCAGGUGGUCUCUUCACACUGUUCCUGACAGUCAUUAUGAGUGCAGGUCACGGGUGAAUAAAAAAUGCAACUGUUGGAUUUUGUUACUGUGGCUGGAUUUCAAUAGAAAUUACACAUCACUUUGCAAGCCAGCAUACAGUGCAUUCGGAAAGUAUUCAGACUUGACCCUUGACUUUUUUCAGCCUUAUACAAAAAUUGAUUAAAUAGUUUUUUUUUCUUCCUCUCAUCAAGCCACAAACAACACAGCAUAAUGACAAAGCAAAAUAGGUUUAGAUAUUUUUGUACAUUUAUAAUAAAUAAAAGACUGAAAUAUCACAUUUACAUAAGUAUUCAGACCCUUUACUCAGUACUUUGUGAAGCACUUUUGACAGCGAUUACAGCCUUGAGUCUUCUUGUGUAUGACACUACAAGCUUGGCAUACCUGUAUUUGGGGAGUUUCUCCCAUACUCCUCUGUAGAUCCUCUCAAGCUCUGUCAGGUUGGAUGGGGAGCGUCGCUGCACAACUAUUUUUAGGUCUCUCCAGAGGAUGUUCGAUUCGGUUAAAGUCCGGACUCUGGCUGGGCCACUCAAGGACAUUCAGAGACUUGGCCCGAAGCCACUCCUGCGUUGUCUUGGCUGUGUGGUUAGGGUUGUUAUCCUGUUGGAAGGUGAACCUUCUCCCCAGUCUGAGGUCCUGAACACUCUGGAGCAGGUUUCCAUCAAGGAUCUCACUGUACUUUGCACCGUUCAUCUUUCCCUCAAUCCUGACUAGUCACCCAGUCCCUGCCGCUGAAAAACAUCCCCACAGCAUGAUGCUGUCACCAACAUGCUUCACCGUAGGGAUGGUGCCAGGUUUCCUCCAGACGUGACGCUUGGCAUUCAGGCCAAAGAGUUCAAUGUUGGUUUCAUCAGACCAGAGCAUCUUGUUUCCCAUGGACUGAGUGUCCUUUAGGAGCCUUUUGGCAAACUCCAAGCAGGCUGUCAUGUGCCUUUUACUAAGGAGGGGCUUCGGUCUAGCCACUCUACCAUAAAGGCCUGAUUGGUGGAGUGCUGCAGAGAUGGUUGUCCUUCUGGAAGUUUCUCCCAUCUCCACAGAGGAACUCUGGAGCUCUGUCAGAGUGACCAUUGGGUUCUUGGUCACCUACCUGACCAAGGCCCUUCUCCCCCUAUUGCUCAAUUUGGCCGGGUGGCCAGCUCUAUGUAGAGUCUUGAUGGUUCCAAACUUCUUUCCAUUUAGGAAUGAUGGAGGCCACUGUGUACUUUGGGACCUACAAUGCUGCAGACAUUUUUUGGUACCCUUCCCCAGAUUUGUGCCUCGACACAAUCCUGUCUCAGAGCUCUAAGGACAAUUGCUUCAACAGGGCUUUUACUCUGACAUGCACUGUCAACUGUGGGACCUUAUUUAAUCAGUUGUGUGCUUUCCAAAUCAUGUCCAAUCAAUUGGAUUUACCACAGGUGGACUCCAAUGAAGUUGUAGAAACAUCUCAAGGAUGAUCAAUGGAAACAAGAUGCACCUGAGCUCAAUUUCGAGUCUCAUAGCAAAGGGUCGGAAUACUUACAGUACCAGUCAAAAGUGUGGACACCUACUCAAUCAAAUAUAUGUUAUAUUUCAGAUUCUUCAAAGUAGCCACCCUUUGCCUUGAUGACAGCUUUGCACACUCUUGGCAUUCUCUAAACAAACUUCAUGAGGUAGUCACCUGGAACGAGUUUAAAUUAACCGUGCCUUGUUAAAAGUCAAUUUGUGAAAUUUCUUUCCUUCUUAAUGUGUUUGAGCCAAUCAGUUGUGUUGUGACAAGGUAGGGGUGGUAUACAGAAGAUAGCCCUAUUGGGUAAAAGACCGAGUCCAUAUUAUGGCAAUAACAGCUCAAAUAAGCAAAGAGAAAGGGCAGUCCAUCAUUACUUUAAGACAUGAAGGUCAGUCAAUCCGGAAAAUGUCAAGAACUUUUACAUUUCUUCAAGUGCAGUUGCAAAAACGAUCAAGCACUAUGAUGAAACUGGCUCUCAUUAGGACCGCCACAGGAAAGGAAGACCCAGAGUUACCUCUGCUGCAAAGGAUAAGUUCAUUCGAGUUACCAGCCUCAGAAAUUGCAGCCCAAAUAAAUGCUUCACAAGUAACACACAUCUCAACAUCAACUGUUCAGAUGGAGCUGUGUGAAUCAGGCAUUCAUGGUUGAAUUUCUGCAAGUAAACCACUACUAAAGGACCAGUAAUAAGAAGAGACUUGCUUGGGCUGAGAAACACGAGCAAUGAACAUUAGACUGGUGGAAAUCUGUCCUUUGCUCUGUUGAGUAUAAAUUUGAGAUUUUUUUAUGUGUCUUUGUGAGAGGCAUAGGUGAACGGAUGAUCUCAGCAUGUGUGGUUCCCACUGUGAAGAAUGGAGGAGGAGGGGUGAUGGUGUGGGGGUGCUUUGCUGGUGACACUGUCAGUGACUUAUUUAGAAUUCAAGGCACACUUAACCAGCGAUACGCCAUCCCAUCUAGUUUGCGCUUAGUGGGACUAUCAUUUGUUUUUCAACAGGACAAUGACCCAACAACACCUCAAGGCUGUUUAAUAAGGGCUAUUUGACCAAGGAGGAGAGUGAUGGAGUGCUGCAUCAGAUGACCUGGCCUCCACAAUCACCCGAACUCUACCAAAUUGAGAUGGUUUGGGAUGAGUUGGACCACAGAGGGAAGGAAAAGCAGCCAACAAGUGCUCAGCAUAUGUGGGAACUCCUCCAAGACUGUUGGAAAAGCAUUCCAGGUGAAGCUAGUUGAGAGAAUGUCAAGAGUGUGCAAAGCUGUCAUCAAGUCAAAGGGUGGCUACUUUGAAGAAUCUAAAAUAUAUUUUGAUUUGUUUAAAACUUUUUUGGUUUCUACAUGAUUUCAUAUGUGUUAUUUUAUAGUUGUGAUGUCUUCACUAUUAUUCUACAAUGUAGAAUAAAGUAAAAAUAAAAUAAAACCCUUGAAUGAGUAGGUGCAUCCAAAAUUUUGACUGGUACUGUAUGUAAAUAAGAUAUGUUAUUUUUAAUAAAUUUGCGCAAAAAUAACUUUUCUGUUUGUAUUAUUUUUUUGUGUGUAGAUUGAUGAGGACAAAUGUUUUUAAUCAAUUUUAGAAUAAAACUAAUGUAACAAAAUGUGGACAAGUGAAGGGAUCUGAAUACGCUAUAUGUGACUUGCAGGAAGGGUUGCACAAUUCUGGUAAAUCUUCCAGGUUUUCCAGGAAUCCUGGUUGGAAAAUUCCUUAAUAUUCUCAAACCAGAAUAUAUAUUUUUUUAUCUGGUAAUUUGGAGAAAAUUACUGGAAUUUUGCUACCCUACUUGCAGGCCUUACGUGGCCUGUAAACCUCAAGUUUCAGACAACUGUAGGAGGGUGAAACUAGACCUCAUAUAAGGCCUUAUGAGAUAUGUAAUGUAUUGUCAAAGAGAGUAUAAUUAUAAUAUUCGCCUAGCAACUCACUUGGUGAAAGGCCACAGGACUGAACAUCAACAGAAAUCAACAACCAUGUCUCUGUCAAUAACAAAUGCAGUCAUGGGUGCAGUCACUACAAAAGGCAAGGCACACUGGGAAAUGAUAUUGGAGGCAUGGCUUAGUGGGUGUAUUAUUCAAAAUGUUCAAGC